rnacentral:rRNA from 1 species
CGCACAAGCGGUGGAGCAUGUGGUUUAAUUCGAUGCAACGCGAAGAACCUUACCUGGUCUUGACAUCCAGAGAAUCCUGCAGAGAUGCGGGAGUGCCUUCGGGAACUCUGAGACAGGUGCUGCAUGGCUGUCGUCAGCUCGUGUUGUGAAAUGUUGGGUUAAGUCCCGCAACGAGCGCAACCCUUAUCCUUUGUUGCCAGCGGUUCGGCCGGGAACUCAAAGGAGACUGCCGGUGAUAAACCGGAGGAAGGUGGGGAUGACGUCAAGUCAUCAUGGCCCUUACGACCAGGGCUACACACGUGCUACAAUGGCGCAUACAAAGAGAAGCGACCUCGCGAGAGCAAGCGGACCUCAUAAAGUGCGUCGUAGUCCGGAUUGGAGUCUGCAACUCGACUCCAUGAAGUCGGAAUC